rnacentral:lncRNA from 1 species
GUCCCCGGGGAGGGUGUCCGGGCCCGGGGCGUCGGGUCCCGCGGCAACCUGCGUUAGGACCCGCUCGCUCUUGUAUUUCCAGUCCCUGCUCGCUGGUGCCGUGUAAUAAACCUAAUCGAUUUAGGGAUUAGGGCACGCUCUCCGUUGACUUUAAACUUUCGUGCUAGUAAAACCUUGGCAAUUUAGCUUAGGAAUUGAAGCGUAGAAAGUCCUCAGAACUUGAAAGAAUGGAGUCUUCCGUGAUCCGUGGCCAACAUCUAGAAAGAGCAUCAAAUAGAGGCUUGUGAUCGGUAUUAGACAUCGGGCUGGUAAAAUGUAAAACUUCUGUGUCUUAUUUUUGAAGAGGGCUGAACGUCCGCCUGGUUAUCUCAACUGUGCUACAUGUUUGCUUAGCGAUUAAAAAGGCUGGAGCAUUGGAUUUGCUAAAGGAGCUUAAGAAUAUUCCUAUGACCCUGGAAUUACUGCAGUCCACAAGAAUCGGAAUGUCAGUUAAUGCUAUUCGCAAGCAGAGUACAGAUGAGGAAGUUACAUCUUUGGCAAAGUCUCUCAUCAAAUCCUGGAAAAAAUUAUUAGAUGGGCCAUCAACUGAGAAAGACCUUGACGAAAAGAAGAAAGAACCUGCAAU